UACGUAUGGUGCAAGCGUUAUCCGGAUUUACUGGGUGUAAAGGGAGCGCAGGCGGCACGGCAAGCCUGAUGUGAAAGCCCGCGGCCCAACCGCGGGACUGCAUUGGGAACUACCGGGCUGGAGUGCCGGAGAGGUAGGCGGAAUUCCUAGUGUAGCGGUGAAAUACGUAGAUAUUAGGAGGAACACCAGUGGCGAAGGCGGCCUACUGGACGGUGACUGACGCUGAGGCUCGAAAGCGUGGGGAGCAAACAGG
rnacentral:rRNA from 1 species